rnacentral:sRNA from 1 species
CGGUUGUACUGCAGCAAAGACACCUGUUAUCUGGAUAGUAUAAAAUGAUUCCGAGAUUGUCUACGCUUUGGUUUGAGCUCCUGGUACAACCCUUCCUGCUUCUCCAGUCUUCAGCUUUCCCUUUCUUCUCCUUCCCAUGGUGUUCUCAUUGACUUGACUCAUCACAAUUACAUCCACGCCGACAUAUUUCAUUUUAUCUCCCCUUUUCUCUGCCUUCAUGUCACCCCACGGCUUGCCUUCCUCUUUCCUCCAAUUGAGGACCUUCGUAAGUUCCUUCUCGGCCUUAAUCUGAUCGACAGGUAUUGAACGUGGACGAGGCAUGAUAUUCUCCGGUGGCGGAGUUUUGGGGCGAGGAGACGGUGCAGAGGACCCAGUGCGGUACGUGGUAGUGGUAACCAUGGCUCGACCUUUCCCCUUGUCUUUUGCCCCAAUUGAGAUAACUUUCCUGGCUCCUCCAAGGGCUAGGGAAUUGUCCACCACCGCUUUCUGCUUGCAACAUUUCCUGUCUCUCCCGUUCACGCUCCAGCUCUUCCAUUCGCUCUUUCUCUAUCUGAUCUUCGAGGUCAGUUUCAACCUUGAGGAUGAGGCGGCUAAGUUGGGCGGGAUUGUAAAGGGGUUGGGCGCAAGAAGGGCAAGGAAGAUGAGGCGCAUGCAAAGCGCAGAUAAUGAGAGCGCAUGUUUGACAAAUAGGAGUGUAUGGUGAUAGAGGGUGCAUCCGAG